CCUACGGGUGGCAGCAGUGAGGAAUAUUGGUCAAUGGGCGGAAGCCUGAACCAGCCAAGUAGCGUGCGGGAUGAAGGCCCUACGGGUUGUAAACCGCUUUUGCACGGGGAUAACAUUCUCCACUUGUGCAGGUUUGCAGGUACCGUGCGAAUAAGGGUCGGCUAACUCCGUGCCAGCAGCCGCGGUAAUACGGAAGGUCCGAGCGUUAUCCGGAUUUAUUGGGUUUAAAGGGAGCGUAGGCGGGCGUUAAAGUCAGCGGUAAAAUUGCGCGGCUCAACCUCCCCCCGCAGUUGAAACUGGGCGCCUUGAGUGCACAAGAGGCAGGCGGAAUUCGUGGUGUAGCGGUGAAAUGCAUAGAUAUCACGAAGAACCCCGAUUGCGAAGGCAGCCUGCCGGAGUGCAACUGACGCUGAGGCUCGAAGGUGCGGGUAUCAAACAGGAUUAGAUACCCGAGUAGUC
rnacentral:rRNA from 1 species